AGAGUUUGAUCAUGGCUCAGGAUGAACGCUGGCGGUCUGCUUAACACAUGCAAGUCGAACGGAAAGUCUUCGGACUUUUAGUGGCGGACGGGUGAGUAACGCGUGAGAAUCUGCCCUUUGGAGUGGGACAACGACUGGAAACGGUCGCUAAUACCGCAUGAGCCGAGAGGUAAAAGAUUAAUUGCCAAAGGAUGAGCUCGCGUCGGAUUAGCUAGUUGGUGAGGUAAGAGCUCACCAAGGCGACGAUCCGUAGCUGGUCUGAGAGGAUGACCAGCCACACUGGGACUGAGACACGGCCCAGACUCCUACGGGAGGCAGCAGUGGGGAAUUUUCCGCAAUGGGCGCAAGCCUGACGGAGCAAGACCGCGUGAGGGAGGAAGGCUCUUGGGUCGUAAACCUCUUUUGUCAAGGAAGAACACAAUGACGGUACUUGACGAAUCAGCCUCGGCUAACUCCGUGCCAGCAGCCGCGGUAAUACGGAGGAGGCAAGCGUUAUCCGGAUUUAUUGGGCGUAAAGCGUCCGCAGGUGGUUUAUCAAGUCUGCUGUUAAAGCGCGGAGCUUAACUUCGUACAGGCAGUGGAAACUGAUGAACUUGAGUGUGAUAGGGGCAGAGGGAAUUCCCGGUGUAGCGGUGAAAUGCGUAGAGAUCGGGAAGAACAUCGGUGGCGAAAGCGCUCUACUGGACGGCAACUGACACUCAGGGACGAAAGCUAGGGGAGCGAAUGGGAUUAGAUACCCCCGUAGUCC
rnacentral:rRNA from 1 species